AAAAAAACUGAAGAGAUCCUCUUAUAUAGUAGACUCUCUUCGGGUGUAAGAGACGGUACGUGUCUCUCUUUGGUUGGACGAGAGAAUAAUAGAGAAGGCUAAAAAUAAUUUUUGUUUCGCGAAAACUUUUUUGGUUUCUCUCUUUCUCUCUUUCUCUCUUUCUCUCUUCGUGUCGCGAUAAAAUUUUUAUGUCGCGGUCGGAGCAGAUGCGAUUGAAGUCCCGAAAAGACAAAGAUUUGAAUUUGGAGUCCACUCAAUCGGACGAGAUUGAAUCAAUUGGAAUCAGAGGCAUUAUAGCUAGCAUCAGCAGGAUCAUGAAGAAAGCUUUGGCCUUCUAAUGGCAAGAUUGGUAAAGAUGCUAAAGACAUUGUUCAGGAAUGCGUCUCUGAGUUCAUCAGCUUCAUCACUAGCGAGGGAUAUUAGAGAUCAGUGUUUUGUUUAUAUUUGAGCUUAGCUGAUCGACGACCAUUUUCGGGAUUACUCUCAAAUUCGGUUGUGUUAGUUUGAACUUUUGGUUUUCCAUUUCUGGUUUAGUUGGUUGUAUUUAAAGAUUUCGAUAUUAGAUGUGAGAACAGUUUCAAUGAAGGAAAAAUUUGUCCAUUUGUUACAAAAUCUUUCAAUUUAUAAGUAUGUCCAGUAAUUAUCUUUGUUUUGUGCA